rnacentral:tRNA from 1 species
GCGUCUGUAGCUCAGCUGGAUAGAGCAACGGGCUUCGAACCCGUGGGUCGGGCGUUCGAAUCGCUCCAGACGCG